rnacentral:rRNA from 1 species
AUUGAACGCUGGCGGAAUGCUUUACACAUGCAAGUCGAACGGUAGAGGGGGCAACCCCUCGAGAGUGGCGAACGGGUGAGUAAUAUAUCGGAACGUGCCCAGUCGUGGGGGAUAACGUAGCGAAAGUUACGCUAAUACCGCAUACGAUCUAAGGAUGAAAGCGGGGGAUCGCAAGACCUCGCGCGAUUGGAGCGGCCGAUAUCAGAUUAGGUAGUUGGUGGGGUAAAGGCUCACCAAGCCAACGAUCUGUAGCUGGUCUGAGAGGACGACCAGCCACACUGGAACUGAGACACGGUCCAGACGCCUACGGGAGGCAGCAGUGGGGAAUUUUGGACAAGGGACGCAAGUCUGAUCCAGCCAUUCCGCGUGCAGGAUGAAGGCCCUCGGGUUGUAAACUGCUUUUGUACGGAACGAAAAGGUCUCUCUUAAUACGGGGGACUCAUGACGGUGCCGUAAGAAUAAGCACCGGCUAACUACGUGCCAGCCGCCGCAGUAA